GAUGAACGCUGGCGGCGUGCUUAACACAUGCAAGUCGAACGGGAAUUACUUUAUUGAAACUUCGGUCGAUUUAAUUUAAUUCUAGUGGCGGACGGGUGAGUAACGCGUGGGUAACCUGCCUUAUACAGGGGGAUAACAGUCAGAAAUGGCUGCUAAUACCGCAUAAGCGCACAGAGCUGCAUGGCUCAGUGUGAAAAACUCCGGUGGUAUAAGAUGGACCCGCGUUGGAUUAGCUUGUUGGUGAGGUAACGGCCCACCAAGGCGACGAUCCAUAGCCGGCCUGAGAGGGUGAACGGCCACAUUGGGACUGAGACACGGCCCAGACUCCUACGGGAGGCAGCAGUGGGGAAUAUUGCACAAUGGGGGAAACCCUGAUGCAGCGACGCCGCGUGAAGGAAGAAGUAUCUCGGUAUGUAAACUUCUAUCAGCAGGGAAGAUAGUGACGGUAC
rnacentral:rRNA from 1 species